rnacentral:rRNA from 1 species
CGGAGGGUGCAAGCGUUAUCCGGAUUCACUGGGUUUAAAGGGUGCGUAGGUGGGCAGGUAAGUCAGUGGUGAAAUCCCCGAGCUUAACUUGGGAACUGCCAUUGAUACUAUUUGUCUUGAAUACUGCGGAGGUUAGCGGAAUAUGUCAUGUAGCGGUGAAAUGCUUAGAUAUGACAUAGAACACCAAUUGCGAAGGCAGCUGGCUACACAAAUAUUGACACUGAUGCACGAAAGCGUGGGGAUCAAACAGGAUUAGAUACCCUGGUAGUCCACGCCCUAAACUAUGGAUACUCGACAUACGCGAUACACUGUGUGUGUCUGAGCGAAAGCAUUAAGUAUCCCACCUGGGAAGUACGAUCGCAAGAUUG